UAAAUUCAGAAAGAAAUGAUAAAGUUUUCCUAUAGCAUGAGAAAGCUAAGUGAUGCCCUCCAAUCCAGGGCACUCUUCCUUUAGACACUUUUGCAAGGAGCAUGGUGGUGAAGUCUCUCCCUGAUUCAGAAGGACUUUACCAUGAAAUGGGUUCAGAACGGUGGGAGAAGAGGAAGAAGCCCUCCCCCUUCGGAGUGCAUGGUGAAGUCUGUCAUACGUGAGGAGGAUGUUGUGGUUUCAGCCUGGUUUGUGGGGGCACAGCAAGGUGAGGCUGUUUCAGACAGUGCUCAGUGUCGCUGUCUCCCUGCGGUUAGCCUGAAGGGAGCAAAGACGCAACAGCGUUUGCUUGGAGCUCAAGUGCUCAAGGGAUAUCAUGAAGAUAUCCGUACUAAUCCUAUAAAAUGCCACAUUGAAGUCCAGACGUGAGCAACAGGAGGAGAGACUUCAGGUCCAUCUCACAAAAGCGAUACCUGGAGGACGUGGUAAUAUUUGGUGCAGAAAAAUGAGAAGGUGCAAAUCAUGGAAUACAUCGAUGAGGAUGACAAUUUGGUGGGUGAGUUUGAUGAGGAUGGGGAGAAGGUAGCCAUAGAUGGCAUAAACUUCCAAUGAGGCCAAUGUUAUGUCGGCAGGAAAUGAUCUGGAAGUAGCUAUUUCAAGCAGUCCAUGCUGACACCUCCGUAACCAAUGAUUUAGAACAAAUGGUGACUCCCUUGCAGGUUUUUCUCAGGAAUUAAUCCAAAACAUCAGUCUUUUUUAAAGAGGAAAAACUGGAUCCUUGAAAUAAGUGGGCUUGAGAGUCAGGUGUGAAGGAAGAAGAGAGCUAUUCAGGGGAAGAAAGAGAAGAGAAAGAAAUGCAUGGGUAAAAUAGUGCACUUCACCAGCUUCGCCUCUCUUAGAGUGUGUAGGAACCAAUGGAAGUGGUAAAGGAGGUGUUUUUUGCAUGUACCGUAGAUUAAUGACUAUUGUGCUUUCCUUUACCAUCUUUUACCCAGGUAAUCCCUUUACUGAGAUACCAUUAGUGCUAUAAUUAAAUAGAAAAUAGCUUCAGCUUCCCUUUCUUUUCAUAGGAAAGACAGUCAUGUUACUUUUUGACAAUUUUAAAAUGAGUUCUGAGUGAUCCCCCAAUUUUGUAAUCUAACGUGCUACAACUGCAAUAAUGUACCUCAGAACCACUGCCUGCUAGAGUCGUGGGCUCAGCUGUUUAUCAUAUGACAUGGUGGCCUGUCUCUUUAGGGUUGGCUUUUCAACAUUGGUGUUUGGGUUGACUCUUCAGAGUCCUGAAAUGUACAGCCUUCUUUGAGAGAUUUAAAAUCUGAUUAACUCUUUGGUUUUAAAUUAGACAAGGACUUGCAGGAGACCACAGCUGCUUCCACAGGAAAGAACAAGCAGCUUGAGGCUCCAGGAGUUUCCCAGGAGAGAGAGUGAGACGCCUUCCUCCCCCAGGGUCCCGGGACCAGGACAGGUAUGCUACCACAUAAGCAGACAAUACACAUGUGCUGGGUGAUGGAAUUGGGUUAUAAAUUUUCUUUUAAAACCAUGACAGAAUAAAAUAGGAGGACAUAUUUGGAGGAUGAAUUUU
rnacentral:lncRNA from 1 species